rnacentral:rRNA from 1 species
GAUGAACGCUGGCGGUGUGCUUAACACAUGCAAGUCGAACGGUGACGCAGAGCUUGCUCUCUCUUACAGUGGCGGACGGGUGGGUGACUCAUGAGCACCCUGCCCCUUACUCUUUCAUAAGCGCUGACGACGGCGUCUAUUACUUGAUAUGACCUGCGACCUCCUGGUCAGCGGAUGGAAAGAUUUUUCCGUCUGGGAUAGGCUCACGGCCUAUCAGCUUGUUUGUUAGGUAAUGGCUCACCAAGGCGGCGCCGGGUAGCCGGCCUGAGAGGGUGAACGGGGACACUGGGACUGAGACACGGCGCAGAGUCCUACGGGAGGCAGCAGUGGGGAAUAUUGCACAAUGGGCGAAAGCCUGAUGCAGCAACGCCGCGUGAGGGAUGACGGCCUGCGGGUUGUAAACCUCUUUUGGCAGGGAAGAAGCGAAAGUGACGGUACCUGAAGAAAAAGCGCCGGCUAACUACGUG